CCCGUUGGUCAAGCGGCUAAGACACCGCCCUCUCACGGCGGAAACGGGGGUUCGAUUCCCCCACGGGUCACCA
rnacentral:tRNA from 1 species